rnacentral:rRNA from 1 species
GAUGAACGCUGGCGGCGUGCCUAAUACAUGCAAGUCGAGCGAACGGACGAGAAGCUUGCUUCUCUGAUGUUAGCGGCGGACGGGUGAGUAGCACGUGGAUAACCUACCUAUAAGACUGGGAUAACUUCGGGAAACCGGAGCUAAUACCGGAUGAUAUUUUGAACCGCAUGGUUCAAAAGUGAAAGACGGUCUUGCUGUCACUUAUAGAUGGAUCCGCGCUGCAUUAGCUAGUUGGUAAGGUAACGGCUUACCAAGGCAACGAUGCAUAGCCGACCUGAGAGGGUGAUCGGCCACACUGGAACUGAGACACGGUCCAGACUCCUACGGGAGGCAGCAGUAGGGAAUCUUCCGCAAUGGGCGAAAGCCUGACGGAGCAACGCCGCGUGAGUGAUGAAGGUCUUCGGAUCGUAAAACUCUGUUAUUAGGGAAGAACAUAUGUGUAAGUAACUGUGCACAUCUUGACGGUACCUAAUCAGAAAGCCACGGCUAACUACGU